AUUGAACGCUGGCGGCAGGCCUAACACAUGCAAGUCGAGCGAGCGGCGGACGGGUGAGCAGUGUAUGGGGAUCUGCGCGAUAGAGGGGUAAAACUACUGGAAACGGUGGCUAAUACCGCAUACUAUCAGAUGAACACAUAUGGGAUUAGAUAGUCGGUGGGGUAAAGGCGCAUCUAGGCGAAGAUCUCUAGCUGGUCGGAGAGGAUGAUCAGCCACACUGGGACUGAGACACGGCCCAGACUCCUACGGGAGGCAGCAGUGGGGAAUAUUGCACAAUGGGCGCAAGCCUGAUGCAGCCAUGCCGCGUGUAUGAAGAAGGCCUUCGGGUUGUAAAGUACUUUCAGCGGGGAGGCGUUACCCGCAGAAGAAGCACCGGCUAACUCCGUGCCAGCAGCCGCGGUAAUAC
rnacentral:rRNA from 1 species